rnacentral:rRNA from 1 species
GUGAACGCUGGCGGUAGGCCUAACACAUGCAAGUCGAACGGCAGCACAGUAAGAGCUUGCUCUUACGGGUGGCGAGUGGCGGACGGGUGAGGAAUACACCGGAAUCUACUUUUUCGUGGGGGAUAACGUAGGGAACCUUACGCUAAUACCGCAUACGACCUACGGGUGAAAGCAGUGGAUCUUCGGACCUUGCGCGAUUGAAUGAGCCGAUGUCGGAUUAGCUAGUUGGCGGGGUAAAGGCCCACCAAGGCGACGAUCCGUAGCUGGUCUGAGAGGAUGAUCAGCCACACUGGAACUGAGACACGGUCCAGACUCCUACGGGAGGCAGCAGUGGGGAAUAUUGGACAAUGGGCGAAAGCCUGAUCCAGCCAUACCGCGUGGGUGAAGAAGGCCUUCGGGUUGUAAAGCCCUUUUGUUGGGAAAGAAAAGCAGCAGGUUAAUACCCCGCUGUUCUGACGGUACCCAAAGAAUAAGCACCGGCUAACUUCGUG